GACGAACGCUGGCGGCGUGCUUAACACAUGCAAGUCGAACGGAAAGGCCCUGCUUUUGUGGGGUGCUCGAGUGGCGAACGGGUGAGUAACACGUGAGUAACCUGCCCUUGACUUUGGGAUAACUUCAGGAAACUGGGGCUAAUACCGGAUAGGAGCUCCUGCUGCAUGGUGGGGGUUGGAAAGUUUCGGCGGUUGGGGAUGGACUCGCGGCUUAUCAGCUUGUUGGUGGGGUAGUGGCUUACCAAGGCUUUGACGGGUAGCCGGCCUGAGAGGGUGACCGGCCACAUUGGGACUGGGCUGCGGCACAGACUCCUACGGGAGGCAGCAGUGGGGAAUAUUGCACAAUGGGCGGAAGCCUGAUGCAGCAACGCCGCGUGCGGGAUGACGGCCUUCGGGUUGUAAACCGCUUUCGCCUGUGACGAAGCGUGAGUGACGGUAAUGGGUAAAGAAGCACCGGCUAACUACGUG
rnacentral:rRNA from 1 species